AUUUAAAAAGAAAAUAUGCUGGAAUGAUUAAAAAUACCUAACUUAUUUUUAUUUUCCUUAGCUUUUAUGUCUAGGAUUUCUUCUGCCAUGAGAAUUGGAAGAAUGACUUUUUUUUCCCUGAGAAAAACCUUUCUGAUGCAGCAAAACCAAAAUGUUCACAUGCCAAUGUGUGUGUUCCUCCACACUGUCCAGAAGGUACUAAAGGGAGAGACAGUCUUCCAAAAAGACUUUCAUCAGGAAGAGGAAGAAAUCGUAUACAAGCAUAAAACUGUUAUCUUGCAAUGUUAACGUGUCU
rnacentral:lncRNA from 1 species